GCCGUGAUUGUAUAGUGGUUAGUACUCUGCAUGGUGGCUGCAGCAAUCCUGUUUUGAAUCCAAGUCAUGGCA